rnacentral:tRNA from 1 species
GGAGAGGUGGCCGAGUCUGGCUUAAGGCGCACGCCUGGAAAGUGUGUGUACCUUAACGGGUACCGGAGGUUCGAAUCCUCUCCUCUCCGCCA